rnacentral:snoRNA from 1 species
AUGCAUCUCUGACAGUCCUGGAACAGUUAAUGUCUGUUGCUAAGGUUGCCACUACAGAUACAAGGAAAAGAUCCUUGUGCUUUCUGUCUGGUUGUGGCAACCAAGACUGAAUUGGGGGGGUGGGGU